CAGCAGCCGCGGUAAAACGAAGGGGGCUAGCGUUGUUCGGAAUUACUGGGCGUAAAGCGCACGUAGGCGGAUAUUUAAGUCAGGGGUGAAAUCCCGCAGCUCAACUGCGGAACUGCCUUUGAUACUGGGUAUCUUGAGUAUGGAAGAGGUUAGUGGAAUUGCGUGUGUAGAGGUGAAAUUCGUAGAUAUUCGCAGGAACACCAGUGGCGAAGGCGGCUAACUGGUCCAUAACUGACGCUGAGGUGCGAAAGCGUGGGGAGCAAACAGGAUUAGAUACCCGCGUAGUCCCUGUCUCUUAUAC
rnacentral:rRNA from 1 species